UUUCCGUAGGUGAACCUGCGGAAGGAUCAUUACUGAGUGAGGGCCCCUCGGGGUCCAACCUCCCACCCGUGUUUAACGAACCUUGUUGCUUCGGCGAGCCCGCCUCACGGCCGCCGGGGGGCAUCUGCCCCCGGGCCCGCGCCCGCCGAAGCCACCUGUGAACCCGUCUGAAGUAUGUAGUCUGAGACAAUUAUUAAAUUAAUUAAAACUUUCAACAACGGAUCUCUUGGUUCCG
rnacentral:misc_RNA from 1 species